GGACAUUUCAGCUAUCCAAAAGGCGACGACCGAUAUUCUCAAGAGCAUUCCGAAAAAUGACCUUAAACACUCAUUUGAAAUGCUAACCGGGCUAAACGCUGUAUCGAAGCACAAGGCAACAAUAAAAAAAUACCUUGUACGAGUAUGUAUACAAAUAUGUGCUGUAUGGGUUUUCACAGAGAUAUUGAUGAGAAGAUCUCGAAUGUACGUUGAUAAAACCACUUGUCAUCUGUAUGUACGAUUACAGAGGGAAGUACGAUGAUAUAUGGCUAAAAUUACUUACACAGAAUGUUGCCAGGGUACAACAAUCAAAAUGGUCCGUUAAUUCAAGUAAUUGAAUAUCGCUACACAACUUCUGAUGGCUAGAGAUGUGGGCAAUUUUUGUGCGUGUGUGACCUCUCACGGUCGCCAAAUUAUGUUUCAGCCCAAGACUAGAUUAAUGAUAAGUUAACAAUUCGAUUGUAUUUAACAUAAGUACAGAGGGAUAUGCAGACGAUAUUGACAUCAAAGGCCUUAACAACUGCCUUUUCAAGCCUGGAAAAAGAAGCGAAAAAGGUUGGUCUUCUGGAGAACGAGAGGAAGGCAAAGUACCUGGGAGCCACUUAUAAUUAUUCAUCGCGUCUUGAGAACCACGUCACGAGUGGUGGCUAAAAAUAUGAAAAAGUUAAGGAGUUUCUAUAUCUGAGGAACAGCAGCCUAAGCCUAGAGAUAAAGCGCAGAAUAACUCUUGCAAACAGGUUCUCCUUUGGGAUCGGUAGGUAAUUAAUAAGCAGGAACGUCUCUCGAUGAACAAAAAUUACACUUUAUAAGUCUCUCAUUAUUCCCGUUCUAUAUGUGGAGCAUUCUUGAGAACUAUUCUUUGCAAGAUUAUCUGAGCCGUCCGCGUGGGCGAUGAGUAUCGAAGAAAAUGGAGCCACAAUCUGAGUGACCAUAUGGCGACAUGGACAUAAUUAUGAGCCCAUGUCGUUCGUAGUGAAGAUGAUGCUCCCGUGAAAAGCUCCUUGGCCAACGGAAGCAAGGGCGCCUACCCUUCCAAUAGAAGGACCAAGUGCACAGUGCUAAAGAAAUUCUAUGUAAAGUCGAAUCUAA